rnacentral:lncRNA from 12 species
GAGCAGGGCAGGUCCAGCUGGGGGUCAGGGGACAGAGCCCUGGGGGGCAGGAGAUUUUCCUCUGCUGGAGGAAAUGGGGCUGCAUGCACAGCAAAGACAAAGAGACAAGCUCGAAAUUCAAAUUGUACUCUGUAUACACGGAUAUUUAACACCUUUCCCUUUCUUUUCCUUCCUUUCCUUUCCUUUCCUUUCCUUUCCUUUCCUUUCCUUUCCUCUCCGCACCUUUCCUUUCCGCACCUUUCCUUUCCGCACCUUUCCUUUCCGCACCUUUCCUUUCCGCACCUUUCCUUUCCGCACCUUUCCUUUCCGCACCUUUCCUUUCCGCACCUUUCCUUUCCGCACCUUUCCUUUCCGCACCUUUCCUUUCCGCACCUUUCCUUUCCGCACCUUUCCUUUCCGCACCUUUCCUUUCCGCACCUUUCCUUUCCGCACCUUUCCUUUCCGCACCUUUCCUUUCCGCACCUUUCCUUUCCGCACCUUUCCUUUCCGCACCUUUCCUUUCCGCACCUUUCCUUUCCGCACCUUUCCUUUCCGCACCUUUCCUUUCCGCACCUUUCCUUUCCGCACCUUUCCUUUCCGCACCUUUCCUUUCCGCACCUUUCCUUUCCGCACCUUUCCUUUCCGCACCUUUCCUUUCCGCACCUUUCCUUUCCGCACCUUUCCUUUCCGCACCUUUCCUUUCCGCACCUUUCCUUUCCGCACCUUUCCUUUCCGCACCUUUCCUUUCCGCACCUUUCCUUUCCGCACCUUUCCUUUCCGCACCUUUCCUUUCCGCACCUUUCCUUUCCGCACCUUUCCUUUCCGCACCUUUCCUUUCCGCACCUUUCCUUUCCGCACCUUUCCUUUCCGCACCUUUCCUUUCCGCACCUUUCCUUUCCGCACCUUUCCUUUCCGCACCUUUCCUUUCCGCACCUUUCCUUUCCGCACCUUUCCUUUCCGCACCUUUCCUUUCCGCACCUUUCCUUUCCGCACCUUUCCUUUCCGCACCUUUCCUUUCCGCACCUUUCCUUUCCGCACCUUUCCUUUCCGCACCUUUCCUUUCCGCACCUUUCCUUUCCGCACCUUUCCUUUCCGCACCUUUCCUUUCCGCACCUUUCCUUUCCGCACCUUUCCUUUCCGCACCUUUCCUUUCCGCACCUUUCCUUUCCGCACCUUUCCUUUCCGCACCUUUCCUUUCCGCACCUUUCCUUUCCGCACCUUUCCUUUCCGCACCUUUCCUUUCCGCACCUUUCCUUUCCGCACCUUUCCUUUCCGCACCUUUCCUUUCCGCACCUUUCCUUUCCGCACCUUUCCUUUCCGCACCUUUCCUUUCCGCACCUUUCCUUUCCGCACCUUUCCUUUCCGCACCUUUCCUUUCCGCACCUUUCCUUUCCGCACCUUUCCUUUCCGCACCUUUCCUUUCCGCACCUUUCCUUUCCGCACCUUUCCUUUCCGCACCUUUCCUUUCCGCACCUUUCCUUUCCGCACCUUUCCUUUCCGCACCUUUCCUUUCCGCACCUUUCCUUUCCGCACCUUUCCUUUCCGCACCUUUCCUUUCCGCACCUUUCCUUUCCGCACCUUUCCUUUCCGCACCUUUCCUUUCCGCACCUUUCCUUUCCGCACCUUUCCUUUCCGCACCUUUCCUUUCCGCACCUUUCCUUUCCGCACCUUUCCUUUCCGCACCUUUCCUUUCCGCACCUUUCCUUUCCGCACCUUUCCUUUCCGCACCUUUCCUUUCCGCACCUUUCCUUUCCGCACCUUUCCUUUCCGCACCUUUCCUUUCCGCACCUUUCCUUUCCGCACCUUUCCUUUCCGCACCUUUCCUUUCCGCACCUUUCCUUUCCGCACCUUUCCUUUCCGCACCUUUCCUUUCCGCACCUUUCCUUUCCGCACCUUUCCUUUCCGCACCUUUCCUUUCCGCACCUUUCCUUUCCGCACCUUUCCUUUCCGCACCUUUCCUUUCCGCACCUUUCCUUUCCGCACCUUUCCUUUCCGCACCUUUCCUUUCCGCACCUUUCCUUUCCUUUCCUUUCCGCACCUUUCCUUUCCGCACCUUUCCUUUCCGCACCUUUCCUUUCCUCUACCUGAGCCUGCUGUCAUUAAUAUCCCAACCAGCUCUGCCUGUUGCCAUUAACAUUCUCCACUCACCUGGGAUGGCUGCACAGACCCCAGUCCAAUAUUCAGCCAGCUCUUGUGUGAUUAUCAGCUCCCUCAUUAGUGAUUUUUAAUGAUUUCAUUAAUUUAAAAUGGAGCUUCGUUUCUGAAUGAGACGCUUUUGUGCCUUUUUCUCA